UACGAAGGGGGCUAGCGUUGUCCGGAGUUACUGGGCGUAAAGCGCACGUAGGCGGACUGUUAAGUCGAGGGUGAAAGCCCAGGGCUCAACCGUGGAAGUGCCUUCGAAACUGGGAGUCUUGAGAAUGGGUGAGGUGAGUGGAAUUGCUAGUGUAGGGGUGAAAUCCGUAGAUAUUGGGAAGAACGCCAGUGGCGAAGGCGGUUCUCUGGCCCGAUUCUGACGCUGAGGUGCGAAAGCCAGGGGAGCGAACGGG
rnacentral:rRNA from 1 species